UGGGGAAUUUUGGACAAUGGGGGAAACCCUGACCCAGCAACGCCGCGUGAAGGAUGAAGUAUUUCGGUAUGUAAACUUCGAAAGAAUAGGAAGAAUAAAUGACGGUACUAUUUAUAAGGUCCGGCUAACUACGUGCCAGCAGCCGCGGUAAUACGUAGGGACCAAGCGUUGUUCGGAUUUACUGGGCGUAAAGGGCGCGUAGGCGGCAUGACAAGUCACUUGUGAAAUCUCUGGGCUUAACCCAGAACGGCCAAGUGAUACUGUCGCGCUAGAGUGCAGAAGGGGCAAUCGGAAUUCUUGGUGUAGCGGUGAAAUGCGUAGAUAUCAAGAGGAACACCUGAGGUGAAGACGGGUUGCUGGGCUGACACUGACGCUGAGGCGCGAAAGCCAGGGGAGCAAACGGGAUUAGAUACCCGAGUAGUCCCUGAGCGGGCUGGCAAGGCGCAU
rnacentral:rRNA from 1 species